rnacentral:sRNA from 1 species
GUUAGGAGGGAAACGAAUGCAGCCAAAGUGGCUCUCAUUCAGGCUCAGGAGUUGUCGGUGCGCAGUGCCAGGCUGUUGGACACCGAAGGGUGCGGCAGUCAGGAUACAGCAUGCCGAGCACUCUGCAUUCCUGAUGAGAGUCGGCCAACAGCAGUUACCCCUGACUCGAAAGGGCUGUCGGGAAGGUAGCUUCUUGGUUUACCAGGAAGAACUUAUAGCCAUCGGCCUGGCAGUUGGGGGUGACUGAGGAGUGCUGUGACUUUUCACACCAGCAGUGCAGGCUCCCUAGGGGCCGGGUCGCUUCUGUCCGUGUGGGCAAUGCUUCCGGGACUGCAUGCAGUGUCGGAAGACAUGUGUGUGCUCGGGUGGGAGGUUGGCCACGCCUUGCACUGAAGUUGUUGGUACCUGGAUGGUUUCAUU